CUUUUACUGAUCUGAUAAAGACUUGGACUUCCUCAUUUUUGUGCAGAUUCACUUGAGAAGUCAGUCUGAGCCGGAGAGAUCCGUCUUACUUUGCCAGUCUCUUGACACAGGGGUUGUACCGACAGACUGGAGAAUUGCAAACGUAAUACCGAGCCACAAAGGGAGACAAAACCAAACCAGAUUCACUUGAGAAGUCAGUCUGAGUCGACGAGAUCCGUCUUACUUUGCCAGCAUGUCAGAAAGCGAAUCAACCAGUCAAGAAGAUGCUGAUAACUACUCACCUGUGACUGGCAAUGAAUGUUAUAUAUAUGUAAUUCGUGAAAAAGACACAGAUUACUACAAAGUGGGGUGCACCGUAAAUCCCUCCAAGAGACUGGGAGACCUACGGACUGGGAAUCCCCGUAAGCUAAUAUUCAAACGUAUUAAGAAGGUAGAUGAUAAAAAAUGGGAGAAAUAUGUUCAAAACAAGCUGAAGGAUUACAGCGUCACACAGGGUGGUGGGACAGAAUAGUUUCAAAUACCAAUUCAAUAUAAACACAUUAUUUAUGAUGUGCUUAAUGAAGUACCCUAUGCAAACCUUUCAGAACAUUCUGUUGGCGAGGAAUAAAACACAUAAGCUGGUUUCACUUCAUAUUUCAGCAUUACAAUUGAUGUUGAAUCACAGAAUUACCGACACCAGCUCAAUUUUGCACAGUGCAGCUUUGUCUCUCUUGCAUUAGAUUAUAAAGCUGAAAUAAACAAAGUUAUACACAUUUUCAAACCUAUUAUUAGCAAUUUCAAGAUCAUUCCCUCAUCUCUUCUAUUAAGUGUCCUUUGGUUCUUUUAAUUUGGAAUAUGCAGUUGUCAAGCAGUUAUUUUUACGAGCACACUAGUGGUCCAUCAUUAUAUAUUCUGCUUUAAAUUACUAUAUAGUCAUAUCUCCCAUAAACAUAACCCAUGUUUGUGACUAAUUAUUGGGAUAACAAAGCUAAUGCAUUGUCAACAAGCAAUGUCUAGCUAUUUAGUUGAAUCAUUUGCCACUUUAUAUUUCUAUGAAAUUAUGUAAAAUACUAAAAUUGCCUCUGUCAUUUCUCAGAAGACUAAAGGAUACUGUAUGUGCCCGUUUAGGCCUGUGAUGCAAUGUUAAUAAACAGGAACCCUAUUUCGCUUUGGUUUACAA